GGUGAACGCUGGCGGCGUGCUUAACACAUGCAAGCCGAACGAAGCACUUUUACAGAUUUCUUCGGAAUGAAGUUUUAGUGACUGAGUGGCGGACGGGUGAGUAACGCGUGGGUAACCUGCCUCACACAGGGGGAUAACAGUUGGAAACGGCUGCUAAUACCGCAUAAGCGCACAGUACCGCAUGGUACAGUGUGAAAAACUCCGGUGGUGUGAGAUGGACCCGCGUCUGAUUAGCUAGUUGGCAGGGCAACGGCCUACCAAGGCGACGAUCAGUAGCCGACCUGAGAGGGUGACCGGCCACAUUGGGACUGAGACACGGCCCAAACUCCUACGGGAGGCAGCAGUGGGGAAUAUUGCACAAUGGGGGAAACCCUGAUGCAGCGACGCCGCGUGAGCGAAGAAGUAUUUCGGUAUGUAAAGCUCUAUCAGCAGGGAAGAAGAAAUGACGGUACCUGACUAAGAAGCACCGGCUAAAUACGUGCCAGCAGCCGCAGUAA
rnacentral:rRNA from 1 species